UCCAGCGAAGAUACAAAUGGCAGAGUCUGACCACCAGGUGGCGCAUGUGGCUCUCUAAUGGGAUUUAGCAGUCCCCUAACAGCCACUAACGUACAACCGUUAUGCUCAGGUUGCCCGAGUGGGUAGACUUGAAAUCUGAAAAGCUCUGGAGCACACCUUUCUAAUUUGAUAUGGCCUCAUUUAAGGUUGGACAGGAGUCUCCUCCACCUUGGGGUGUGGCUCAGGCGCAAGCCACCCAGCCUCUGCCUUACCUUCUUGAGUGAUCGAGGGCUUUUCCUUUGCUGUGUGCACUCUAAAAGUAAGAGUGAGGGGAAAUGACACAGUGGAUGAAAGGUGCUUUCAAGGCGCUAACACGGGCACUGAAAGGACGGUGAGCUUGGCCCCUGUUUACAGCUGUAUUCAGCUGCCAGCAUGUGACUGCAGAACCAUCUCCAGAGCCCAGUCUUAGAGAAAGUACCAAGAGUCCUGGUGGGGUCUGUCAGAGGAGAGGAAGCAGGAACGGAUGGUCCACCUCUACCCUUCGGUGAGAGGAGAAUCAAGACACUUCCAAGGCAUGCUGGGAACUACAGAGGACCCUUGGCAUGUAGGCUUCACCCAAGAGGAUUUGUGAGUGUGUUGUGGGGAGGCAGGAGGCUAGUAAGAGGAAGGGAAAAUGGGGAGGAGAGAGCAGAGAAUCUAGACCGGAAGUCCCCACCACAGUCAAAGGGAAUGGUAGAGACAGUUGGCUCCCCCAAACCCCCAAAUGUCUGCCACAGCUGAAAGCCAUGGACUUUCCUACUUCCAUCCUUUCUCCCUGCAGAAGAUUCUUGUCACACAGAAGUAAAGAUGAUCUCUAGGUGGUGCCUAGAGAGGAGUGACCAAUUCAAUAAAAGCUAAGAAAAGCCAGAGUAAAGCACCUCCCAUCCGUACCACAAAUGCUUGUAUUUUCUUUCUCUUCUCCAUGCCUCAGCAUGCUGGAGGGCUGGGUCCUAGAGAGGAAAAGGACCGGAGAAUGGGAAAGUACAAGUCACCUUAGACACCCCAGGGUGCAACAAAGGAAGUCCAAAGGUCAAUACAACACCAGUCUCCCAGCAUGAAGUCGGCUGCCCCAAGAAGAAAGGAGAAGCUGGGAGACUGAGUAGCCACACAUGAAUAUGAAACUUUGUUAGCAACCUAACGACCAGUUUACUGGAGAGGUUGGUAAGUUUUCCCAGUAUACCCUAAAGGGCAAAAAGGGGUCAUUUGACAGAGCAAGGUUGAAGCUGGGGUUUGGGGUCAACGUCCCCUUCCACCUUUGAGGCAUUUGUUCUCAGCUUUGUCCUUCUUGGUUGUGAAGUUCUCAGAGUAUAGAGACUGUGAGCUUACUAACAGCUAAAAAGGUGUUGUCCUGUCUCGAAAAGUCACAAGGGUUUCACAAGAUGGUGUGAGAAAAGCUCAUCUGAACCAAUCAGCUUGCAGUAGGGGAAGACAGCUGCCAGUGGCAGAUGUCAUUAGCCAAGACAACGCAAAGGCCGAGAACUAGGUCGUGAACCCUUGGCUCAGCUUCCUGCCGUCCUACUGGGAAGACAGAGAAAGCAUCCCAAGGCUCCUGCUCAUUGUGUGUAACAAGGAAUCCUUACAAUCUUUGUCUUUAUCGGGGAGAUAGCCAAUUGCUAUCCAGAGCCAUGCAGUUUUAAUGCAUUUAUUCAAAUCAGCUCAACUCAACUGUGCAUAAUGUGUGAUCCAGAGCUGCUCUUCUCAGUCACCAGUGCUCCAAGAGAGAGACUUUAAAGAUUGUUUAUCGACAGGUGACAGGUUCUGCACCCCGUCUGGGUCUCCUCCUCUGCCUGCCUUCCCCAGCACAGCGUUUCCUCCAGCAGGAAGCGUGGUACUUAUAAAAUGGUCAACAACAUAAGAGUACCUAGUUCAGCUAAAAGUGCUUGUCUCUUUCUGAAACUCUUAGUUGAAAUUUGAACCAAUGGGAUAUAAAGAAGUGGCACUAUGCCUUUCAGCUGUGGCAGCCAUCUUCCAGUAACUUGACAAAAUGACAAAGACAAAGGGAAAGAGGAGAGGCACCCGAUAUAUGUACUUCAGGAGUUGUUCCUUUAGCCACAUACAUGCGAAUCUACAAGAAGGGUGAUAUUGUUGACAUCAAGGGAGUGGGCACUGUUCAAAAAGGAAUGCCAAAUAAGUGUUACCACGGCAAAACCGGAAGAGUCUACAAUGUCACCCAGCAUGCCGUGGGCAUCAUUGUAAACAAGCAAGUUAAGGGCAAGAUUCUGGCCAAGAGGAUCAAUGUGCGGAUUGAGCACAUCAAGCACUCCAAGAGCAGAGACAGCUUCCUGAAGCGAGUGAAGGAGAACGAUCAGAAGAAAAAGGAAGCCAAAGAGAAGGGCACCUGGGUUCAGCUGAAGCGCCAGCCUGCGCCACCCAGAGAAGCGCACUUUGUGAGGACCAACGGAAAAGAGCCUGAGCUGUUGGAGCCCAUUCCAUACGAAUUCAUGGCUUAAUGUACAAAAAAGAAAUAAAGGACCCAGACUGCAAAGUGUUUAAAAAAAAAAAAAAAAGCAGCACUGUGGGGAGUGGCAAGGCCAUGCUGUGUUAGUGUCUUAAGAAAGGACCCCGAUUGCUGCUGUGCUUCUCUACCCCACGUAAAAAGUGAGGCGGAGUCUCUGUGAAUUGAAAAGUGGGAAAUCAUCCAACAUCAAAUCUACCAGGACCUUUGCUCUUGGACUUUCCAACCCCUGGAGACAUAAGAAAUGAGUUUUCUCUUGUUUAUGAAUGAUCCAGUUCAUGGUAGUUUGUCAUACUAUUGGACUAAAACAAGCCUUCUACUCCUUUCUGUAUUCUCCAUCCUCUUUAGAUAAACCCUGAAAUAGGUCAAUAAAUCUGGUAUGCCAGUGGAAGAC